rnacentral:lncRNA from 1 species
CUGCAGAGUGCGCGGCUGAGCCCCCCAGGGCCAGGGCCGGACAGUCAGAUUUCCCUGAAGCUGUGAGAAGAUGGCCAUCUUCCCUACAGAGAAUUUGUUCUCAGGAUGCUGCGCCUUCUCCUCGGCGUGCCUUCCCGGGAGGUACAGUCGUCCUGGAGAGCCGACGUGCACACCCACCUGCCAUCAC